AGGACGAACGCUGGCGGCGUGCUUAACACAUGCAAGUCGAGCGGAAAGGCCCUUCGGGGUACUCGAGCGGCGAACGGGUGAGUAACACGUGAGCAAUCUGCCCUUAGCUUCGGGAUAGCCCCGGGAAACCGGGAUUAAUACCGAAUAUGACCUCGGCCGACAUCGGCUUUGGUGGAAAGUUUUUCGGCUAGGGAUGAACUCGCGGCCUAUCAGCUUGUUGGUGGGGUAAUGGCCUACCAAGGCGACGACGGGUAGCCGGCCUGAGAGGGCGACCGGCCACACUGGGACUGAGACACGGCCCAGACUCCUACGGGAGGCAGCAGUGGGGAAUAUUGCGCAAUGGGCGAAAGCCUGACGCAGCGACGCCGCGUGGGGGAUGAAGGCCUUCGGGUUGUAAACCCCGUUUCAGCAGGGACGAAGGCGAGAGUGACGGUACCUGCAGAAGAAGCGCCGGCUAACUACGUGCCAGCAGCCGC
rnacentral:rRNA from 1 species